UGUCUCCUCCAACCGUUCUCCGAACAUUGGAUUCAGCCCGCGCCUGACGCGGGCUUUUUUUU
rnacentral:ncRNA from 1 species